AGACGGAGGGCGCAAGCGUUGUUCGGAAUUACUGGGCGUAAAGCGCGCGUAGGCGGUUAGAUAAGUCUGAUGUGAAAGCCCUGGGCUCAACCUGGGAAUGGCAUUGGAUACUGUUUAACUAGAGUGCAGGAGAGGAGAGUGGAAUUCUCGGUGUAGCGGUGAAAUGCGUAGAUAUCGGGAGGAACACCAGUGGCGAAGGCGGCUCUCUGGACUGACACUGACGCUGAGGUGCGAAAGCGCGGGUAGCAAACAGGAGUAGAAACCCCGGUAGUCC
rnacentral:rRNA from 1 species